rnacentral:rRNA from 1 species
AACGAACGCUGGCGGCAUGCCUAACACAUGCAAGUCGAACGAGACCUUCGGGUCUAGUGGCGCACGGGUGCGUAACGCGUGGGAACCUGCCCUUAGAUUCGGAAUAACUCCCCGAAAGGGGUGCUAAUACCGGAUAAUGUCUUCGGACCAAAGAUUUAUCGCCUCUGGAUGGGCCCGCGUUGGAUUAGCUAGUUGGUAGGGUAAAAGCCUACCAAGGCGACGAUCCAUAGCUGGUCUGAGAGGAUGAUCAGCCACACUGGGACUGAGACACGGCCCAGACUCCUACGGGAGGCAGCAGUGGGGAAUAUUGGACAAUGGGCGAAAGCCUGAUCCAGCAAUGCCGCGUGAGUGAUGAAGGCCUUAGGGUUGUAAAGCUCUUUUACCCGGGAUGAUAAUGACAGUACCGGGAGAAUAAGCGCCGGCUAACUCCGUG